rnacentral:rRNA from 1 species
UACGUAGGGGGCAAGCGUUGUCCGGAAUUAUUGGGCGUAAAGAGCUCGUAGGCGGUCUGUUGCGUCCGCUGUGAAAACUCGGGGCUUAACCCCGAGCCUGCAGUGGAUACGGGCAGACUAGAGGUAGGUAGGGGAGAAUGGAAUUCCCGGUGUAGCGGUGAAAUGCGCAGAUAUCGGGAGGAACACCGGUGGCGAAGGCGGGUCUCUGGGCCGACAUUGACGCUGAGGAGCGAAAGCGUGGGGAGCGAACAGG